rnacentral:rRNA from 1 species
AAUGAACGCUGGCGGCGUGCCUAAUACAUGCAAGUCGAGCGACCACACAAUGAGCUCUCGCCUCUGAGGUUAGCGGGUGGCGGAUGAGUAACCAAUAGAUAACCUACCUAUAUUUCUUGGAUAACUUCGGAAAGACAGAUCUACUAACGGCUCAUACGUUGUACCGCAUGGAUCAAUGGUUCAUGACACUUUUGCUGUCUCAUAUAGAUGAAUCCGCACCGGCUUAUCUAGGUGGUAAGGUAACGGCCUACCAAGGCAACGAUGCUGAGCUGACCUGAGAGGGUGAUCGGCCACACUGGAACUGAGACACGGUCCAGACUCCUACGGGAGGCAGCAGUAGGGAAUCUUCGGCAAUGGGCGCAAGCCUGAUGGAGCAACGCCGCGUGAGUGAUGAAGGUCUUCGGGUCGUAAAGCUCUGUUAUUAGGGAAGAAAAAAUGUGUAAUUAUCUAUGGACGUCUUGACGGUACCUAAUCAGAAAGCCCCGGCUAACUACGUG